CUUAAUACAAAUAAAAUACAAAUGUUUGUUUUGAAUUUUUUAAAUAAAUAAUAAAACAAUUAUUGAAUUCGGUUUUCGCACAAUAUGAAGAAUUAUCAAGCCCUCAGUUUGCCGUUAUCAACCUCAGCCUUCGGCUUCGGCAAACUUCGGGCUUGAUAAUUCUUCAUAUCGUGCUCAACCUCAUUCAAUAAUUGUUAAAUAUGAAUAUUCUGAGUCAUGUACUGUAGGAAUUUUAAAAACUAAAAUUGGUCGUUUGCUUCAACAGUAGUAGUUACUGGAGUCAACAAAUAGGUGGGUAAAAAUUUAUUCGACUACGCUAACC